GGGCCCGAACCUGUAUAAAAAUCCUCGCCUCUGUCUCUUUUACUACAAUCUCGCAUAUAUAUUCUAGUACCAACGAUCCCCAUACUAUGCAAAUACCGGAAUCGCGACAUCAAACGUCGACACAUAUAAAGCCCUUUCUAAUUAUAUCUGUUCAAAACAAUUUCAGCCAGCUUGACAACAAUAAUUUCUCAGGAACCUCAAUUCCUUCAUCUUAUGCCAAUAUCACCACACUUUUGAAAUUGUAAGUAUUUCUUACUGCUGUCUGCAAUUCCACCUCUUACUGUAGUGCUGAAAUGAAUUUUAGGAGGGUUGCGUUUUGAAUGUCUUGCAAAUCAAGUGGUGAAGUUCUAUAUCAAGAAUAUAGGAGUUUGAGGAACUGCAGCUUGGAAGGACCUGUCCCUGAUGUCAGUGGAAUAGCCCAACUUGGCUAUUUGUAUGUGACGAAUUUCAAGACUGCAACCUCACUUUCUCAGGAGCAGAAAAUUCUAUUUCCGUAGUUAGCAGAAACAAAUUUGUGUGUGGCAGCUCUGAUCCUUGCCUUAUUUAUGUUCAGAGAUCUUAGUUGGAAUCAGUUGAGGGGUUUACCAUCUGGCCGACCAGCAAGCAACAUAAGCACGAUGUAUAAUAAUAGAUCCUUUACUAACAACUUGUGUUAUCUUUUGUUUAUUCAAUUUUACUAAGCAUUUGGCGACCAAGCUAUCUUUUUUGAUCAUUCUGAUUGCACAGACUUGCAGUUUUAGUUUAUAUGCAUGCUUAUACAAUUUUUGCAGAGAUCUUUCUCACAAUCUUCUAAACGGAUCCAUUCCUGGAAGUUUCUCUGGCCUUCCCAAUCUACAAAGACUGUAAGUAUGAUAUAUAUUUUGAGUUCAGUGAGUGCAAUAGGUAUGAUCCUUAGAUCAUUGGUAGAAGCAGGAUAGGGAUAAAGUAAAAGGGAAGAAGAACUUUACAGGGAAGAAAAGACAAGCACUUUUACUUCAUAACUGAUAUUUCUAAGCAUUAUUAUUUCCUAUUGGGUACCUAGAUAAACAGAAUUGAAUUGUGGUUCAGUUUCAGGAAUAGUUUCAAGAAGAUAUAUUGAAUGUAUGCAGAUCUGUAAAUUGUACAUUCUCAAAUGAGAUGUUAUGUGUUGCUUGCUCUAGCGAAAGGGAUUUCAUAUUGUCGCAUGUAGUAGUUGACAGGACAUUCUGGAUCAUCCAUCUGCCUCAUAGCACAACUUUCAUCAUUCUGCUACCAGCCCUUGGUCUCCUUCAAGAUAAGCAUCACAUAGUGGAAGCACUAAGAGCAUAUCAUUCAUCUUUUAUAUUCCCUUAUUGCUCCCACUAUUAGCCUAAUAAUGAUUGGAAAUAAAAAAAACGUUUCUAAGCCUAAGACGUUUUAAGAUGCAAGAAAGAUCAUACUCAUUGGAUACAAUUUUAUAUAAAAAUUGCAUAGUUUUUCUAAAGUUUAAUUCAGCAAGGUAUUGAGCUUCUCAAUGCAAGUCAUGUAAAUUAGGCGUUCUACUGAAUUUAUUUUGUUUCUUUUCAAUGGACCUGAAAACAUCAACAAAAACAAAAACACUUCGCUGAUUAUUUUUUACCAGUGCGAUGGAAGAUUUAGAACAGAUUAUACACUGUAGAACAAAUUAGAACUUGAUUUCUGUGAACAGAAACUGAAUGUUCAGUAAUUUUAAAUACUCCAAAUUAAUGCCCAAUGUUUCUACCUGAUCUAUUUGACACAACUGGGUGGUGGCUGAAAUCCAAAAAGGAAAUCAUGUUCGUGUUUCAGAUUUUCUUUUGCAGAGUAUCAAUUAGUCAAAAAUCAGUAUUGAUCAUCUUAUUGAUUCCUUACACUUGCAGUUCCAUAUUAUGGAAUGUAACUAACUAAUACUUCCAUGAUGUUUCUGUUGACAGAAUACCCUACCAGCUGUAGUGUUCAUGUAUCUUACUAAACUUUUUCAAACUACAAUAUUUGUCAGCCAUUAAGUGUACUCACAUAAUUAAAUUGAAAUGCGGAACUCAGAACUACACCAUUAAGUAACUAUGCCGACAAACAAUCUUGCCUAGCUUUCACCUGAAUGAUGAUGAUUCCAGCCAGAGCUUUGAGCUUGAUCUUGGAUUUUGUCCCUUUUUCCACACGCACACAAAAAAAAAAAAAAAAAAAAAAAAAACUUUGGUGUGGACAUAUCUCAAGGUGGAACUCUGAGUGUUCUACUCGAGGGAAGUAUCCUUACUAUGACUUGAGAAAUUCUGAUGUAUGAGCAAUUGCUUUAUUACACUUUUCAUGGUAAGAACGUUCUUCAGUUGAUCAUCAUGAGUUUGCUGCAUUUUUGUUCUUCUGAUUGACAUCGCAUCCUAUUGUCUCUUUACUUCUCCAAGGUUUCAGGAUAAUUAAUCUAUACAUGAAUGCAAGAUGACUCAGAGGAGGUACUAAAUCCUUGCAGAAACAUGCAUGAUCUUUAGCCAUUAUCUGACAAAUAUAUGAGUGCAACUGAACAAUUGACUAAAUAUUGGCUAAUGUGUGAGCUUAUGUGUUAUGUGGGGAAUCACCUACAAGAAGCACGGGAAGCAGCGAGUCGACUGCGCAUCAUUGAAUUUUUCCACCAAUUCAGGAUUAAUUCAGAUAUUGGUUUUCCCUUUCUGUUUUUCCAUUCUGUUUUUUGUUUCCAGUUUCAAGUCUGGUUGGACAUUCACAUUGAAAAAAAAUAUGUUAGAAAUAGCAAAUCAUGCGUUUUUUUUUGGCAGGCUCCAUUUCAAACACAUUGCCUCCUUUUUGUCAUCAAGAUAUUACCUCAAUCAUGACUAUUGAAACGCCUAA